CCUGAAGGAAUGCAAAUAAAAAAGAUGGAUUCACCGCAAACUCAAGGAUUUCAGAAUCUAACAUCAUUUUAUGUUUCUGACUGUAACAAUUUGAGAAAUCUGCUCGCCUUCCAUUACCAGAGGUCUUGAGAACCCAAAAAAUCUAUCUAUAAGCAAGUGCCUGAAGAUAGAAGAAAUAGUCACUACAGAGGUGGUAGAAACAGAGGAUAACGGCAUGCUCCCUCGGCUAACUUAGUGAGCUACCGUAUCUCACAAGUUUUUCUCAUGGAAAAUAUGCUUUCAAAUGGCCAUUAGUGGAAAUGAUCAUUGUCGACGAAUGUCCUGAAAUGAAGAAUUUCGGUUUAGGAUCUCUUAGGACGGCAAAGGAAGUCAAAAUAAGUAUCAGUGGCGCUGGGGAGAAUCUUUGGCAGGAGCUCAAUGACAGUAGGGAAGAAAGCUGGUCUGCAUUUUUAGAUCCAUAAAAG
rnacentral:lncRNA from 1 species